AUUGAACGCUGGCGGCAGGCCUAACACAUGCAAGUCGAACGAGUGGCGGACGGGAGAGAAAUGUAUGGGACAGUGCCUGAUGGGGGGGGAUAACUACUGGACACGGUAGCUUAUACCGCAUACCAUCAGAUGUGCCCAGAUGGGAUGCGCGAGUGGGUGGGGUAACGGCUUACCAAGGCGACGAUCCCUAGCUGGUUUGAGAGGAUGACCAGCCACACUGGAACUGAGACACGGUCCAGACGCCUACGGGAGGCAGCAGUGGGGAAUAUUGCACAAUGGGCGCAAGCCUGAUGCAGCCAUGCCGCGUGUAUGAAGAAGGCCUUAGGGUUGUAAAGUACUUUCAGCGGGGAGGCGUUACCCGCAGAAGAAGCACCGGCUAACUCCGUGCCAGCAGCCGCGGUAAUAC
rnacentral:rRNA from 1 species